UCCCUGGUGGCUCAGAUGGUAAAGUGUCUGUCUGCAAUGCAGGAGACCCGGGUUCGAUCCCUGGGUUGGAAA
rnacentral:tRNA from 1 species